CUUUUAACCAUCAAAAAAGAGAGGAUGUGUCCUCCAAGUAAGAACAGUUGUUCUCCAGAAUGAGAAAUUGGCAAUGUCAUGCUGACAAAGAGGGGGAGUCCCUAGGUAAAAUAGUAUAAACCUCAUCACCCAAGGCCAGUCCUUCUCCUGGCCAUGAGAGGGGAAGCGCUGCCCCUCACAAAGCCUUAUAUGCCUCAUUCAGGGAGGGAGAAAAGCAGUCCCUCUUGAGACCUGUUUCCAUGGUAACCAGUGAGCAAUUGACAAUGUGGCUGCAGUUGGGCCUCCUUGAAGGGGAAAAAUCUUCAACAGGAACCAGGCCACUGAGAGAUGGAAGAAAGGACAGCUCAUACCCAAACCUCACGAGGAGGCUACAGGAAUCACUGGACAGUUCCUUUAUUGGGAAAGCCCCCAGUGACUUUCCAAUGAAAUGGAUAGAGAAGGGAAAAGAGACCCUUCGGAAUCAGAUGAGUCCAUGAACUGGCAGCAGUCAGGGCAGUGAUGACAUCACAGAAGGAGGAUGGGCCUUAGACAGACAUCACUCUUUAGAAUCCCUGCAACUUUGAGCAAGUUCGUGAAUCUCACUAAGGCUCAGUUUCCUCCAUAAAAUUAAUCAAUAUCAGGGCCUCUGCAUUGGACAACUCCAGAGGGCACCAUUGGGGUUAUACCUUGUGUUUGCCUAACCUUCAUUGCAGUGGGCAGGUGCAUGCUUUCUACAAUGUCCUAAGGUCUAAAGGGGUAGAGUUCUGUGUGUGGCAUUUUAGGCCUGGAAAGGAUGAGAGUCUACAAAACCAGAGAAAUACUGCAGCAAAUGGUCAAACCCAGGAGGGAAUGGUAUGAACCUCUGGUUUACAGCCAUUGGUAAGAAGCACACAUGACAACCUGGACUUUCCAUCAACAUUUGAAGCGGGAGCAGUCUUGUGGGAUCAAGCUCUUAACCUGUGGGGUCUGCUACUAACUCUGAGAUCCCAGACCACCACCCAUGAUCCCAGGCUGGAGGAAGCAGCAGGCUAGCGGAAUUCAGGACCAAUGAGCCAGGAAAGAGGACCCAAUGCAGAGCUCACAUCCCACCCUCCUUCCCCCAUGACAAAGCACUGGCAAACCCUGCCAAAGAAGAAGCUUGGCUGCAAAGCAGUCUGGAACUGGACCCGGGAUAGAUUCACCAGGAGCUCACCACCACAGGGAAUGCUGCACUUUGACUGGACAGAAUGCAUCCUCCAUGCCCACAGAGCAUGUGCCCAGGAUGAAUCUCACUGUAUCCCAGUUCCUCAUGCUUGGCCCCAAACCUCUUUUUCACAGUAAUAAAGAAAACACACU
rnacentral:lncRNA from 1 species